GAAAUGAUAUGCAUGCAGAGAUCAUUUUUUUUUUCUCUUUUUUUUUUCAAUUUUUUAUUGAUUCUUUUUUUUUGUUGAUUGCGUUUCUUUUGAAAAAUAAACAUGCUAUGAUGCACAUGAUGCAGACACGACUGGCAAGCGGUGCAUCUCUGAACACAGGCUCAAAGCUUCGGCUCGAACUCUGAUCACAAUCAUCUGAAACCCAAAGUCAACUGGUCAACUGUCAUCUG
rnacentral:lncRNA from 1 species